rnacentral:lncRNA from 1 species
GAAUAUUAUCUUUUAUGGGUUUUUGAAACAGUAUAAAACUGACAUGAUAUUUUUUCUUCCCACAUUCCAGUGGAUCAUCUUGCAAACUCUGUGGAAUGUUUGGAGACCUUGCUCUACCUAUAGUUCUAAACAGGACACCGAAAGUGACCUUCUCAUGUUUUUAUUUGUUAUGAGCUCUGUGCAUGUUUUAUGUGAAGAGUCCUGGGGUCAAAUUAGGUCAGAGAACCCUGCUAACUUCGGUCUUGUUGCAGUCCUUAUGUAAAUGAGCACCCUGAAGAUUCUAAGAAAGCUCUAGUGAAAAGGAAAACGGAGCAUUUCUCAGGCUGACCCUACCAUUUACUGUGUAACAUUUAUUCACACACCUUGAAACUACUGUUAGCAUAAGAUUCUUUGGGAAAUACUAAGUUACACUGCUUACUGGCUUCUGCCUGCAUCACUACAUGUAUUUGCCGUCACAAAAUAUGGCUUCCUCCUUCUUGUGUCUUUUCUGCACUGGGAUCCAUGAUCUGAGAUCAUCUCAGAUGGAUCAUGACAAGCACAAAACUUUAUUAUUAUUUUAGAAAUCACCUGGUCUUUCAUGGACAGCUCUGUCCAUGAAACAAUCAGUAACAAUCAGUUAUACAGUAGCCUUAAAAAAAAUAAAUUUGUUUAUUUAUGGCUGCA